rnacentral:tRNA from 1 species
AAACUUUUAAAGGAUAACAGCUAAUCCACUGGUCUUAGGA